UAACGCUCUAGCCAGGCUGGUAUCAAUGCAGGCUAAAAGCCAUGGCUCGAGGCCUUCAGGUGCACCAAAUUUCGUGUAGAAGAGCCAAUUUCCUGCUGUUUUCUAGGACCCAGCAGUUGGUAACCAGGCAUUCGUAACAGCAGAGCUGAAGCCCUGUAGGAUGGAGGGUUUGCACCUGCAGGUUUUGCAACAGAACUUCUCAUUCUGAUAUAGCUGACAUAGACCAACAGACUGUUUCCCAGAAGCAGAGGAACACAUUCCCAGCUGCUGGACCCACUGAAGUCAG
rnacentral:lncRNA from 1 species